UACGUAGGGUCCAAGCGUUAAUCGGAAUUACUGGGCGUAAAGCGUGCGCAGGCGGUUGUGUAAGUCAGAUGUGAAAUCCCCGGGCUCAACCUGGGAAUGGCGGUGGAUACUGGGGAGCUAGAGUGUGUCAGAGGAUGGUGGAAUUCCCGGUGUAGCGGUGAAAUGCGUAGAGAUCGGGAGGAACAUCAGUGGCGAAGGCGGCCAUCUGGGACAACACUGACGCUGAAGCACGAAAGCGUGGGGAGCAAACAGG
rnacentral:rRNA from 1 species